AUUGAACGCUGGCGGCAUGCCUUACACAUGCCAGUCGAACGGUAACGGGCCUUCGGGUGCCGACGAGUGGCGAACGGGUGAGUAAUACAUCGGAACGUGCCCGAUCGUGGGGGAUAACGAGGCGAAAGCUUUGCUAAUACCGCAUACGAUCUACGGAUGAAAGCAGGGGACCGCAAGGCCUUGCGCGGGCGGAGCGGGCGGUGGCAGAUUAGGUAGUUGGUGGGAUAAAAGCUUACCAAGCCGACGAUCUGUAGCUGGUCUGAGAGGAUGAGCAGCCACACUGGGACUGAGACACGGCCCAGACUCCUACGGGACGCAGCAGUGGGGAAUUUUGGACAAUGGGCGCAAGCCUGAUCCAGCCAUGCCGCGUGCAGGAUGAAGGCCUUCGGGUUGUAAACUGCUUUUGUACGGAACGAAAAGCCUUCUUUUAAUACAGGAGGGUCAUGACGGUACCGUAAGAAUAAGCACCGGCUAACUACGUG
rnacentral:rRNA from 1 species